UUCUGUAGGUACCAAUGCUUGUAGUUGGGUAUAAAUCCACUCUUAUACAAAUCAACAGUAAUUAUAUCUCUAUCCAAUAUUUCUCUAUUGUCACAUCUAUUACAUGGAUAACGAGCUUAUCCUUGAUGUAAGAGUGCUACAUUUUCAAAAGUAAAAUCACAGAAGUAUUCUACACCUCUCUAUAUUCAGCAGAAAUCAUCUUGUCGACUACUCGAUAGUCCAUCCAACUAUGAUCCUAUUAGAAAUUGUAUCCCAAAAUCAAUCAU
rnacentral:lncRNA from 1 species